rnacentral:lncRNA from 1 species
AUCAGAAUAUACCUGAGGGAUGGCAUUAUGAAGACACAUACGUGAUUGUCUGGCACGAAAGUAAGGGAACAUUCACCACUUCCUCCCAAGUAAAACAAUCAAUUUUCACCAUCUUUCUGGAAAUGUCACUACCCUUGCCAACUGAGAGCAUUCCUCUCGUCAAAAGAAAAAGAGCAGUCAGAAAUUCCAAAGACCCUCUCCAUACACCCCAACCUGGAUAUAACUGAGAAGGUUCUCCAGAAGAUUGAUACAUGUACAGUAACUUGAAAAAAUAUUCAUCCUUA